rnacentral:rRNA from 1 species
UACGUAGGUCCCGAGCGUUGUCCGGAUUUAUUGGGCGUAAAGCGAGCGCAGGUGGUUUAAUAAGUCUGAUGUAAAAGGCAGUGGCUCAACCAUUGUGUGCAUUGGAAACUGUUAGACUUGAGUGCAGUAGAGCAGAGUGGAAUUCCAUGUGUAGCGGUGAAAUGCGUAGAUAUAUGGAGGAACACCGGUGGCGAAAGCGGCUCUCUGGACUGUCACUGACACUGAGGCUCGAAAGCGUGGGUAGCAAACAGG